rnacentral:lncRNA from 1 species
CAGGGAUGAAAGGGCGCAGGGGUGGUGCGUAGUGCAGGGAUGCAGGGUGAAAGGGUGUAGAGAGGUUAGAAUGCAUGUUUAGUGAUUGAAGGAAAAUGGAGGUGGAGUCAAUGGUGAGCACAAAAAUUCUCAAUAAUCAAAAUAUUAAACUUUUUAAACCACUUAUUAAUUAGGGGUAUUUUACGAAAUUAGAGGUGCAGAGUGAAAUGCUUGAAGGUGUAGGGUGAAACACUCUUAAAAAAUAAAGGUCAUUCACUUCAUCAUAUGGGUUUGAAUGUUGCUCCUCCACCACCACCAAAUGCUUCCUGCACCACCCCAUACCCAAUUUGCCCUUGCUAUAAAACGAAUGUCAACAUCCAUUUCACCUUACAUAUUUUAUCCUUUUUUUUAUAUUUUGGUUUAUUGUUUUUAUUUUAGAUUUUAUUUUAAUAAUAUUUUUUAUUUACGUAAUAUAUUAUAA